AAAAUGGCUUCUUUGGGCAUACCGAAGCCACCAAAAGUUUCAGUCGAAUUAAA
rfam:Culex pipiens quinquefasciatus supercont3.2695 genomic scaffold, whole genome shotgun sequence.